rnacentral:lncRNA from 1 species
UAUUGUUAAGGAUUUCAGUAUUCACUGAGGUUAGAUGGGUGAUACUGCUCAUUUUCAAAAUGAUCGAUCGUGGGGCAAAUGUCACACCAGUUCAGAUUCCCACAAGUCUGCUCAUAUUUUUUUGGUAAAGCUGAACACUUUAUUUAUAAUAAGAAGGCAAUAUUACAUCCCUGAAUAAACAACCAAGUCUGCUCAUAUUAUUGAAAUGAUCAAUUCAAACUUCUAAUUCCCUGU